rnacentral:rRNA from 1 species
AUUGAACGCUGGCGGCAGGCCUAACACAUGCAAGUCGAACGAGUGGCGGACGGGUGAGUAAUGUCUGGGAAACUUCCCGAUGGAGGGGGAUAACUACUGGAAACGGUAUCUAAUACCGCAUACCAUCGGAUGUGCCCAGAUGGGAUUAGCUAGUAGGUGGGGUAACGGCUCACCUAGGCGACGAUCCCUAGCUGGGCUGAGAGGAUGACCAGCCACACUGGAACUGAGACACGGUCCAGACUCCUACGGGAGGCAGCAGUGGGGAAUAUUGCACAAUGGGCGCAAGCCUGAUGAAGCCAUGCCGCGUGUAGGAAGAAGGCCUUCGGGUUGUAAAGUACUUUAAGCGAGGAGGCGUUACUCGAAGAAGAAGCACCGGCUAACUCCGUGCCAGCAGCCGCGGUAAUUC